UCACUGGAGGACUAGUGGUUAGGUCUCGGCACUUUGACCUCCACGCUCUGGGUUCGAUUCCUGGCCAGGGAA